ensembl:lincRNA
GGGGCAGCAAUGAAGCAAGCUGUUUGUUUGAUGGCUGUUGAGUCUCUGGGGUGGGCUAGCUGUGUUCAUCACAGCUAACUGGAGUUGGGGAGGCUGAGUGGCCCUGCUCGGUAAUCUGGGACACAGGACUCAGAGGGAACAGAGAUGGCUCCCCUGCACCGGGAGCCCUGAGAUGGGCCCUGGGCUAGAAUUGGAUAGCAGGAGUGGCCGGGAUGACCCUGUCUCCCACCUGCACCUCCUUCUCCACAGCAAGCACGUACCCAGUUCCAUACAGGACAAGCCUUGGCCUGACUCAAGCUGCACGGUGCCACUCAGUCUAGCCAGGUGCUCAGAACACAUUUAUUUUUAUGUUUUUAAUGUUUUUUUGAGACAGGGUCUUGCUCUUCAGCCCAGGGAGGAAAUAGACAUGGGACAAACGAUUGCACGCAUCCUUGGAACCCUUGCUAGAAGUCAGGGAGGAUGGGGAAGGGUUGAGAGGAGAUCUGGAGAGGCUUCCAGAGUCAGGCCCGGGGCUGCCGCAGCCUGGUCCCACCCAGACCUGGUUCCCAGCUGCACAGUGAGUGGGGCGUCCUGAAUCCACCAGGCAGGUGGAGGGAACUGAAAGGAGGAAAGAGAGGAGGAAAAGGCUUCUCAUGAAGCCUGAGCUGCAGCCGAACAGCAGGGGCCGGAGGAGAGCUGCUGUCCUGACUGUGGCAGGCUGUGGGCGAUCCAGCUGAGUGCGAGAGGUGACCCUGCGGAGCGGAGUUAAACGACUCAGCACAGACCGAACCAUCAGUGUUGUAGGGCUCGGCCCCAGGAGGAAGAUGACUGCAACCUGGAGGUUGCAGUUUUGCUUUGUGUGGGGUUGGCCAUGGAGCAGUGGCCUUCGUGCAGACACACUGCAUUCCUGAAGGAAUGGCUGCUUCCCGGAGAUGCAGGCCCUGGGCCGGGGAGGGCUGUCCCAUGAGACAGGCAGGCCCCUGAUGCCCUCUAAGAUUAGGCAGGGAGCACAGGGCCUCCCCACAGGCUGGGGACACCAGCCGGCUCCUUUCCGCAGCCCAGCCUCCGCUUAGCUUGCUGUUGAAGGCGGGAGUCACUGCUGCAGGCUGCCGGCAUCCACACUGUGGCAGCCCUCAGAACCCUACAGAAGACCCCAGCAGCCUGCAUGCAACAUGGCACAGAUCUCAGGGAGUCUCCAGAGGGACCUACACAACCCAGCUGGGCCACUUUGGGGGACAGCGGGCUCCCUGAAGGAACUCUGGGCAGGGCACCCAAGCCUGUGUCCCCUUCGGGAUCCUGGACUCUGAUUGCACCCCACCCCCCACCCCACCCCCAGGGACAUGCGGGUCUUUGGACAUCUGCACACGACCACCCCAUGGGUACUUCACAGGAGGGAAGGUGAGGAGAGUGGACAGGCAUUCAAGGAUGCUGCCCGUGACCUUGACAACCCCUGCAAGCCCUGCCUGUCUCAGUUUCAGUGCUCUGUCAGAUGAAGAGGACGGGCUUCUCUGGUUCUCCCGGGCCAGCACAGAGCUACCCCAAUACCCCACUUAGCGAGAGUCUUGAAGCUGUUUCUGAGGUCAGUGGUUUUUGGCUGGGCACAAGGAGGCUGACCAGGUCUGGGACCCAAGGCAGGGCCACCCAGGACGGGCAUUCUCCAGGGCUAAACCCAGCAGUGCCAGGCAAGCAGGAAGAUGGGGGCCCGAAUACAGGGCAGGAUGAUCCCUUUCCCUCUUCUGCAUUUCCAGAGGUAGAAAGCUGUGUCUGGUUUUCUCAGGUUGAUCCACCACUGCCAAUCCUACUGGGUAAGAUGACAAGAAAGGAACAGCUUCACCCAUGAUCGAGUUAACAGCAGGAACAUCUUUGCCAGAAGAAGACAGCGUAUAGGUGUGGUUAGAGCCAAGUAGAAAGACAUCUGCGGGCACCUAAGUUCGCUCCGUCCAUAGGACCACAGAGGGAGGCAGGCCUCGGGGACGUGGGAGGCCAGGUAGAGGUCUUCCAGGCCAUACCCUAAAGGGGCAGAGGCUGGCACAGUCAGCGCUGUGUUACAAGAAUGAAAGACUGAGACAGGCUGCUUGUGAAAUAAGGAGCUUUAUGUGGCUCAGAGCUUGGAGGCUCAAGUGGCCCCAUGCAUUCGCCACUAGAGAAGACUGCUGGUGGCAAUGUGUCACCAAGGCAGUCACAUCUCAAGCCAGGAAGCAGGCUUUGGAUGGAAAGGGCAGAGGGUAUGGCUGCCUCUAGGGAAAGAAGAGAACUCAAGGAAGGGGAUCCCAAAAGGGGCUCAGCCUGUGCCUGGGAGCAGAGGGCAGAAGAGGCAGGGAGAAGGGCAGCAGCUAAGAGCCACCAGCUGGGGCCACUCUGGGUUUCCAAGCCUCAGGUUCUCACUGCUCAAACUUACAGACAGCGCCUAAGAGCUUUGGUUCAGGCAGGCUGUCACUAGGAAUAAAUAUUCCCAUAAUAGAAAUUAAAACAUUUAAAAACACACUUGUUCAUUUUUAACAGUAAGUCCCAAACCUAUGCAUAUUAGCAUACUUUAAAGGAGUAAAAAAAAACCCUAUAUUUUCUAAGACUAAAAAAAGAAUAGUGAGAAGAGGG